AUCAAUAAGCGCAGGAAAAGAAACCAACAGGGAUUGCCUCAGUAACGGCGAGUGAAGCGGCAACAGCUCAAAUUUGAAAUCUGGCUCUUUCAGGGUCCGAGUUGUAAUUUGUAGAGGAUGUUUUGGGUACCGCCCCGGCCUAAAUUUCUUGGAACAGAAUGUCAUAGAGGGUGAGAAUCCCGUCUUGGGUCGGCGGUAGGGCCUGUGUAAAACUCCUUCGACGAGUCGAGUUGUUUGGGAAUGCAGCUCAAAAUGGGUGGUAAAUUUCAUCUAAAGCUAAAUAUUGGCCAGAGACCGAUAGCGCACAAGUAGAGUGAUCGAAAGAUGAAAAGCACUUUGAAAAGAGAGUUAAACAGUAUGUGAAAUUGUUGAAAGGGAAGCGCUUGCAACCAGACUUGCGCGCGGCGGUUCGCCCGGUCUUUUGGCCGGGUUACUCCGCCGUGUCCAGGCCAACAUCGGUUUCGAGGGUCGGUCAAAGGCCCCGGGAAUGUAUCUACCCACGGGUAGACUUAUAGACCGGGGUGUCAUGCGGCCUCUCGAGACCGAGGAACGCGCUUCGGCUCGGAUGUUGGCGUAAUGGUUGUCAGCGACCCGUCUUGAAACACGGACCAAGGAGUCUAACAUCUAU
rnacentral:rRNA from 1 species